rnacentral:rRNA from 1 species
UACGGAGGGUGCAAGCGUUAAUCGGAAUUACUGGGCGUAAAGCGCACGCAGGUGGCUGAGUCAGUCGAUUGUGAAAGCCCUGGGCUUAACCUGGGAAUUGCAGUCGAUACUACUCAGCUAGAGUAUGGGAGAGGGCAGUGGAAUUCCCGGUGUAGCGGUGAAAUGCGUAGAUAUCGGGAGGAACAUCAGUGGCGAAGGCGGCUCACUGGACUGGUAUUGACGCUGAGGUGCGAAAGCGUGGGGAGCAAACAGG